UACGUAGGGAGCGAGCGUUAUCCGGAUUUAUUGGGUGUAAAGCGUGUGUAGGCGGUUUAUUAAGUCUAAGGUUUAAGCCUGGAGCUCAACUCCAGUUCGCCUUAGAAACUGAUUUACUUGAGUACGGUAGAGGCAAGUGGAAUUUCUAGUGUAGCGGUUAAAUGCGUAGAUAUUAGAAGGAACACCAGUGGCGAAGGCGACUUGCUGGGCCGUUACUGACGCUGAGACACGAAAGCGUGGGGAGCAAAUAGG
rnacentral:rRNA from 1 species